rnacentral:rRNA from 1 species
GGAUUAGAUACCCUGGUAGUCCUGGCCGUAAACGUUGUACACUUGGUGUGGGAGGUUUUAUCCCCUUCCGUGCCGGAGCUAACGCGUUAAGUGUACCGCCUGGGGAGUACGGUCGCAAGAUUAAAACUCAAAGGAAUUGACGGGGGCCCGCACAAGCGGUGGAGCAUGUGGCUUAAUUCGAUGCAACGCGAAGAACCUUACCUGGGCUUGACAUGCCCGUCGUACUCUCCCGAAAAGGAGAGGUCAGCUAGGCUGGACGGUGCACAGGUGCUGCAUGGCUGUCGUCAGCUCGUGUUG